UUUUUUUUUUUGCACCGUUAUUGUCUGAUUAUCUAGAAAUUGGGGAAAUCAAUAAAUAUUGCACAGAAUGCAAUAUUUAUGAACAUCAUGUUGGUGUCAGAGCUGGUGAAGCAGGAACGAGCCCAGGCUUCGACUAGCACCAGCUCCAACAUAGCAAUGGAAUUGAAGUAACUGCAAAACUUCAGCUUUUUUUUUGUCUUUUCUAGGGCCGCUCCUGCGGCACAUGGAGAUUCCCAGGCUAGGGGCGCAGCCCUAAAAAGCAAAAUAAAAUAAAAUAACAUAGGUGAUAUCAUUUCAUUAGGGUGUUUUUUAGGACAGAACAUGGAUUUAUCAUAGGGUUAUAAACAUUAGGAAACUGGUUAUUUGAAAAAUUGGAUAAGAUACGAUAUAGAAUGGGAACCCCUGGGUAAUUAACCUGUCAAAAAGUUUAAGAGUGACUAGGUUUGUUCUGGGAAGACAGAUCAGCGAGGUCCCUGGACACUUCUCUUGCUCAUCUUUUCAUAGGCUCUCAGCUGGUCCCCUCAUCCCUUGAGCACUUCCAAAGUGGGUAGAAAGUCAGGGUCCUUCAGGUGUAGACAUUGACCACACUCUAACAAGGACUCAGGGGCCUCUUAGCAACAUCUGCUUUUACUUCACUUGGAAACGACUUUGCUUUUGAACUAAACUGGAUUGGAUGCCAAGGCCAGCAGCUCUUUCUUACAGGCUCCAUUGAAAAUGGACCCUAAUAUAACUGUGUCUGCAGGUGAGAUAACGCAUUUAAAUGCCCGACCGAUAACUAACUACUCAGAGAAUUAUCGGUUCGAAUAUAUUCAAGUCUCUGUGACAUGUCUGAGAAUUACAGACAAGCCUCAGGGUCUCCAGGAGUCUACACUGUGGCAGAUGAGACGACAGGGGAAGAUUCUAGAGUGCUCUGAAUAGUGAAGGGGGUUUUGCAAACAUUCAUCAUGACUAUUCCAUAUAAAGGCAGCUAAUAAUCCAAAGAAACGUGUAAGUAUUGAACAAUAUUUCCAGUACAAACAUAUGUAUCGAUCUCACCUGGAAGAAACCCCAUUGUCACAUACAUUAAAUUUUAUUAGCUCAUCUUCCAGUGGAACCUCUGUCUCUUUACCCACCACCGCUUUCUCUUGCCUUCUGCUUCUAUCUGCACUCUUUAAUUUCCCAGAGGGAAAGUCUUAGGCAAAAAUCCUAAGAGAAAAAAUAGCUUUUGUGUUAGGUAUGCGUUUUCUGGGCAAUCAUUCUGAUGACCUAAUCAAUUAACCAAUCAAAACCAAAUGGGUGACAAGUAUAUUUCUAGCGUAGACAUGGAAAGAAGGAAAAAUGAAUGCCCCAAACAAAAAGAGAUGUCUGGCUCUUGGCACGUGACAAAACUGGAUGUUUUAGUUAAAGUUUGAUAUUUUUAAGCAUUAUACGAGAAGCAGAUAUUCUGGCAAAGUGAAAUGUCCUUGUGAUCUUAAAGAUUUUUUUAAAAAUGCCAAGUUGAUGCCUGAAGCACAUAUUCUCAGCUCAGAUACUGAGAUCUGUGAAAUUGGAGGUUUUAUGUUAGAAUUGAGAUCUGAUUUUCACCGACAGCCUUCUGGUUCUAUUGCACCCGGAUCUGAGGGCUGGUUCGAAACGUGAUGCUUUUCAAGUAUCUGAUUUAAAACAAGGCAGUAGAAUUAAUAAAAUUGCAUUUCUUGCCCCUCUAAAAAGCUGACAAAAUUAUGAUAGUCUGAAAAAUACACUAGGGACUCAGGUGAGCCUCGAUGAUACCAGUAAUAGUAACCGGAAGUUAAUUGGGGAAAACAGAACCAUUGGUUACGGCAUUCUUAAAAUAUUAAACCUCUGCAGAACAUGCAAGGCGCAACCCUGCAUAUGCAAUCUUGGCAUGAAAUAGAGUUUGGCUGCGAUAGCCAGUCUUUUUACCUGCAGAUUUAAGCAUCUUUUAAUAUCUAUCUUCAAUGUCACUUCAGGAAAAUGCAACCAGAAACCACUGCAGACCGAUGGCUGAGGACUUUCAAACUUCUGCUAAAGAGAGGUUUCUGCCAUGUAUUCAAUCAGUUCACCGGAUUUUAAAAUUCUUUUUGUUAUUUGGCAGGGCAUCUUUUCUCAUUCAAAGGUCUUUUUCUUAAAACAUCCAUACUGUAUCUUUACAUAACGUUCUGGAAAUCCUACUGGAUUGGGUACAAGCUUAAAUUAAAAAUGAGAGUUGAAAAUGAGUCCAUUUGCUAUGAUGUGCCAUCAGUUCGAACACUUUUCUGAGCUUCAAUGACACAUCCUAGUACAAACAGAAACUUUAUAAACAUGGCUUGUGGGGCAUGCUUUACCCAAUAUCAACCAAUAUUUACCUUUCAAUUAAGAGCAAAGGCAGGGUGUUGUGUGUGUGUGUGUGUGUGUGUGUGUGUUUUGAUCAACAGAUUGUUGCCUGGGAAGACUUGACUUCAUGCUUCAGCCUAAUUAGUAUAUUUGCUUGGUAUUUGAGAAGGAGACCCACCCCCAAGUAACAUUUACCCCACCAAAAAUAAGUCAAAACACUACAGAAGGGGAGCAUAUGGUCCAAGCGCUACAGUAGGGAAAAUGUUACUUUAACAGAUGAAUGUAGGAGAAAGGCCAGUGUGUGGAGAAAAGUGAGCACAAAAUAUCUGGUUACAUUUUCAAGAAAGUCCAGAUAAAAGAAGGGCGAGCAUAUAAUUAUCCAUCGAAUCACAAUAUUAAUAGGUUUAUUACUGUUAGUUAAUUGCACAAAAUCGGCUCUCUCCCCCUGGAAAUGUGUCUACACACAUGUUCGUAAAUGUAUGAAGAAAUUCUGUCUGAAGUUGCUGCACACACAAUUAAUGCUCUUUGAAUAAUUCUGGGACUAAACUCAGCACGGGAACCUGCACGUCCUGAAUCAGCAUCUGGGCAAUGCCCAGUGUUGCCGGGGCACAUGGUCAUUUCUUUGGGGAGCUUGUAACCUAACCAAGGAAAUCACUUUAGCCCUGGCUCUGUGCGUGACUGAAAGACAAUGCCGAACCCCUUAGCUGUCCGCCCUCCUCUAGCUGCCAGGGUGCUUGCUCUCACCUUUAUUUUAUAGACAAUGCCCUUAACUGAGGAAUUGAUGUUUAGCGCCUCUGAGUUCUCAUCUCUACUCCUUCCUCUACCUGCAGCAACUUGGCUUCUGCCACUGGCUAAACAACCUUUGAUAAAGGCACCAAAGGAACAGGAUGUGGUUAGUCCUGCCCGGGUCUCUCCACAGCACGUGAACCUGCUGGCCCUUGCAGGUCCCUAAAAACCUUGUCUCCUGCCUUGCUCUGGUUUCCCCUGGUCCUGCUCAGGCGCACGUGCUGGCCCCUCUUCUUUCUGCCCCCCCUUCAAAUGGAUGUGCCUUACCCAGACAUAUAUGGUCAUUUAAUCUUCAACAAAAGAGGCAAGAAUACAAAAUGGAAAAAAAGACAGUUUUUUCAGCAAGUGGUGCUGGGAAACCUGGACAGCUGCAUGUAAAUCAAUGAAACUGGAACACACUCUCACACCAUGCACAAAAAUAAACUCAAAAUGGCUUAAAGACUUAAAUGUAAGACAAGACACCAUCAAACUCCUAGAAGAGAACAUAGACAGAACAUGCUCUGAUAUAACCUUACAGAUGUUUUCUCAGGUCAGUCUCCCAAAGCAACAGAAACAAAAGUAAAAAUAAACCAGUGGGACCUAAUCAAACUGACAAGCUUUUGCACAGCAAAGGAAAC
rnacentral:lncRNA from 1 species